UACGGAGGGUGCAAGCGUUAUCCGGAUUCACUGGGUUUAAAGGGUGCGUAGGUGGGUCUGUAAGUCAGUGGUGAAAUCUCCAAGCUUAACUUGGAAACUGCCGUUGAUACUAUAGAUCUUGAAUUUUCUGGAGGUAAGCGGAAUAUGUCAUGUAGCGGUGAAAUGCUUAGAUAUGACAUAGAACACCAACUGCGAAGGCAGCUUACUACGGGAACAUUGACACUGAGGCACGAAAGCGUGGGGAUCAAACAGG
rnacentral:rRNA from 1 species